UCGCUGCAGAGCAACAGAGACGGUUCUGUUUCGACCCGGUUCACGUGUGUGUCUGUUGUUCUGAGCUGUGACUCCGUUCAGCAGCCCGGCAGGUUUCUGUUCACACACAUUUCAUUCUGAAAUCAUGACGAGGCAUUAUUCUGUCGUCACUGUGAGUGUGUGUCUGAAACAAGUCGCCUGUCCCCACUGAACAUCUGUGACCCGGCAGGAAACAUGAAAUGAAGCGACUGUUCACACAGCUCUGGAUGCAAUGAAGAGAAAAUCUUACAGUCUUUAAGAUUCAAUUUAAAAUCUGGAUCAGAAGCAUCAUCGUGUGUGUUGCAUCUUGUGGUAAAGACCGGGUCCACCGGGUCGUCAUAUCAUCCAACAGAAUCUUUAUAUUCUCAGGAGAAAACACCAACAAAUGAAGGAAGGAAUCAGUUUGAUUUUCACUCGCUGCUGCUGAUCAUUCAGAGGAGAACGUUCACAUUUACAGACGGAGUCUCAGCCUCAUUUUGGGGGAAGCCUCGCAGGACGACACCCUCUGCAUCAGGAAGAUGUAGGAAACUAGGUUGGCAUCUUCACAGGAUCGGGAGGAGAGGAAGGCAGGAGGUCCGUGGAGGCUGACCAUGCUGAGUCUCCUCUCACUCCUCGGCAGUGAAAUGGUUUGGCUGUCAGCUGCAUCUGUCGGAGACCAUUUCCUGUCAGCAAACCUGACGCAGCCUCACAUGGGAGCGUGGAAACAACCUCCGUCCUCAUCAACAAAGAGAUCAGCAGCUCUGACGGGGAGGCGGAGACGUGAUGGAGCCGGCCAGAAGAAGGCUCACAUAAUGAAACACACAUAUUUGUUAAAGAGUGCAACAAUAUCACUGAAAACAAACAUGUUCUUCCAGCUAAAUAUCCAGGUCAGAUCAUACAAACAGUCAGAAACAGACAGAACAACAUGAACCUGCAGCACGUGUGUUCGUUUAGGCCUUUAAAAACGGAUGUAAACUGUAUAUCACUGGAUCUUACGGAUGCCUGCUGGGAAAAGAGUCUUUCUACAGAUAAACACAUGAAAAAGCAUCAAGACGCAGAUCGUUUUGUUUUGUCACCAUUUAAUGAUGGAAGACUGAAACUGUUGUGAAAUGGAUCUAGUGAGAAUUUAAGAGUGAGAGAGACUCAGACACUCAGCUGGUGAGAUGGCAAACAUUGUGCGUGUUUCUGUAGGCUGUAGGUUUGACAGGACCUGGCUGAAG